rnacentral:rRNA from 1 species
UACGGAGGGUGCAAGCGUUAUCCGGAUUCACUGGGUUUAAAGGGUGCGUAGGUGGGUUGGUAAGUCAGUGGUGAAAUCUCCGAGCUUAACUUGGAAACUGCCAUUGAUACUAUCAGUCUUGAAUACCGUGGAGGUCAGCGGAAUAUGUCAUGUAGCGGUGAAAUGCUUAGAUAUGACAUAGAACACCAAUUGCGAAGGCAGCUGACUACGCGAAUAUUGACACUGAGGCACGAAAGCGUGGGGAGCAAACAGG